rnacentral:rRNA from 1 species
UACGUAGGGUGCAAGCGUUAAUCGGAAUUACUGGGCGUAAAGCGUGCGCAGGCGGUUUUGUAAGUCAGAUGUGAAAUCCCCCGGCUUAACCUGGGAACUGCGUUUGAAACUACAAGGCUAGAGUGUGGCAGAGGGGGGUGGAAUUCCACGUGUAGCAGUGAAAUGCGUAGAGAUGUGGAGGAACACCGAUGGCGAAGGCAGCCCCCUGGGUUAACACUGACGCUCAGGCACGAAAGCGUGGGGAGCAAACAGG